CAGUCGCCGCGGUAAUACGGAGGGUGCAAGCGUUAAUCGGAAUUACUGGGCGUAAAGCGCACGCAGGCGGUCUGACAAGUCAGAUGUGAAAUCCCCGGGCUUAACCUGGGAACUGCAUUUGAAACUGUGAGGCUGGAGUCUUGUAGAGGGGGGUGGAAUUCCAGGUGUAGCGGUGAAAUGCGUAGAGAUCUGGAGGAAUACCGGUGGCGAAGGCGGCCCCCUGGACAAAGACUGACGCUCAGGUGCGAAAGCGUGGGGAGCAAACAGGAUUAGAUACCCCUGUAGUCCCUGUCUCUUAUAA
rnacentral:rRNA from 1 species